CUUGCUUCUCUGCAGUAAUAAUUCUGAAAUAUUCAUCCUUCUUUUCUCUCUCCAUCUCCUCUGUCAUUUCCACAGUGCUCCUUCAACUGGCCAGUGAUGCUUUUCCCAAAGAUAUGACACUUGCCCUGGCCUAUUUACUAGCUUUACCUCAGGUGUUGGAUGCUAAAACGUGUUUUGAGAAGCAGCCUCCAUCAGCACUGUCUCUGCAAUUAGCCGCAUAUUACUACUCUCUUCAGAUCUGCUCCUGCCUCGCAUCCUGCUUUAAAGACAAGUGCAGCCCGCUUUGCCGGGCUGAUCCUAGAGAGCUUAUUCGUCUUGUGACCAAGCAUGUAAAAGACAACGCUGGAUGGGAUUGGGGAGAUGAGUAACUGCAGGCCCCGAUUAGUCAAUUGAGACUAUACAGUGAGAGACCGACAGAUUUGACUCAAGCUCAGGUGCUACAGGGACUCGGCCGUGGAGUUGAUGUGAAGACAUUUAGCAGCGACAACCAGUACAAGAAAGAGACUAUUCUGGGACAGGUGGAGUAGGACAUUGGAUAAGAGUGUGUAUGGGAUCUCUCGAUCUCUGGCUCAGCAGUACAGCAUCCCUCUCUGAGAAGUGCACAUGACACACCUCAAGUUUCUGUGAUAGCGGCAUCAGCAGACCUGCUGGAUGAAUGGACUUGGCAGUCAUUGAAGGCUUUCCACCAAAGACAUUGAGUACAGAAUGGAGGCUCUGGGCCUGUUUGAGACCCUAAAGACAGACCCAGAGUAAUUCUACAUGCACAUGACUAAAUACCUCAAACUGCUCAAGAAGCUCAAAACUAUUGCUGUUGGUCUGGACUAUAAGAAG